rnacentral:rRNA from 1 species
GUCCAGACUCCUACGGGAGGCAGCAGUGAGGAAUAUUGGUCAAUGGGCGCGAGCCUGAACCAGCCAAGUCGCGUGAGGGAAGACGGUCCUAUGGAUUGUAAACCUCUUUUGUCGGGGAGCAAAAGACGCCACGUGUGGCGUUCCGAGAGUACCCGAAGAAAAAGCAUCGGCUAACUCCGUGCCAGCAGCCGCGGUAAUACGGAGGAUGCGAGCGUUAUCCGGAUUUAUUGGGUUUAAAGGGUGCGCAGGCGGGCUGUUAAGCCGGCGGUAAAAAUUCAGGGCUCAACCCUGUCGAGCCGUCGGAACUGGCAGUCUUGAGUGGGCGAGAAGUAUGCGGAAUGCGUGGUGUAGCGGUGAAAUGCAUAGAUAUCACGCAGAACGCCGAUUGCGAAGGCAGCAUACCGGCGCCCAACUGACGCUGAGGCACGAAAGCGUGGGGAUCGAACAGGAUUAGAUACCCCCGUA